CCACCAUGCCUUCAUCGAGGAGUAUGGACGACGAAGAAAAUGUAUUAAGACACCAGAGUGUCUUAAUAAAUCGAAAAGCAAACAUUGUUAUAUGCAUAUUACUUCAGUCAAGCACGAGGAGGGUGACUGAGGUUGGAGAAAACAACAUGGUGCAGUUGGAGAGCUUGGAUGGCCAACAACUGAAGACCAGGACACCCUAUGUCUCACUGAAGCCUCGGCGGAAGAGCUACAUGCAUUGGACUCCAGGACCCUGUGUCCCAUCCAUCUGAGACAGUGUGCUUGGAUGGGCCUGAACCUCUGUGCUCAGAGUUGGAGGAGGACUGUCUUCAGG